CAGAUCCUUGGAGCGUGAGAUCGAAGAGAAUUUCUUAGCAACAUCUUCAGAAUCAGAAGUCAGUCUAUCAAAGCCGCAUCGAGCCUACUGGAUAGAGCAGCAGAACAGGCUGCCCCUGCCUCUGAUGGAUAUCAUGGAGACGGAAGUUCUGGACAUCCUCAAGAAAGCCCUCAGUAGUCCACGAUUGGCAGGAGCCACUUCAUGACUAAAGAGCUGCAGGGAUACAUCGAAGGGAUGAAGAAGCGCCGGAACAAGAGGCUGUACUGUUUGUCUCAGUGAACCUCCAGCUCAAGUGGCCGACGAGACGUCCUCCCCAUGUCCUUUCCGUCCCUCGAACCCAAGCUCGAACCCAAGCUCGAACCCAUCUGCAUGAAAUUUGAAUCAUAGAGAAAUUAAAGAGUCUAUGCAUGGUUCCAGA
rnacentral:lncRNA from 1 species